UGGAUGUGCUCGGACCGUGACG
rnacentral:miRNA from 2 species